rnacentral:rRNA from 1 species
UGGGGAAUAUUGGACAAUGGGCGAAAGCCUGAUCCAGCCAUGCCGCGUGAGUGAUGAAGGCCCUCGGGUCGUAAAGCUCUGUGGAGAGGGAAGAACCCGUUCAGCAUCAGAUCCUGAACGUUGACGGUACCUCUUUAGCAAGCACCGGCUAACUCCGUGCCAGCAGCCGCGGUAAUACGGAGGGUGCAAACGUUGCUCGGAAUCAUUGGGCGUAAAGCGCACGUAGGCGGACUGCUAAGUCGGAUGUGAAAGCCCUCGGCUUAACCGAGGAAGUGCAUUCGAAACUGACAGUCUUGAGUAUGGAAGAGGGUCGCGGAAUUCCCGGUGUAGAGGUGAAAUUCGUAGAUAUCGGGAGGAACACCAGUGGCGAAGGCGGCGACCUGGGCCAAUACUGACGCUGAGGUGCGAAAGCGUGGGGAGCAAACAGG